rnacentral:rRNA from 1 species
UACGGAGGGUGCGAGCGUUGUCCGGAAUCAUUGGGCGUAAAGGGCGCGUAGGUGGCCUGGUCAGUUCGUGGUGAAAGCGCGGGGCUCAACUCCGCGUCGGCCAUGAAUACUGCUGGGCUUGAGCACUGUAGAGGCAGGCGGAAUUCCGGGUGUAGCGGUGGAAUGCGUAGAGAUCCGGAAGAACACCGGUGGCGAAGGCGGCCUGCUGGGCAGUGGCUGACACUGAGGCGCGACAGCGUGGGGAGCAAACAGG